CUCUUAUCCAGAGUCGGUGGAGGGACAGGCCCGAUGAAACCCGGCAACCGUCUUCAGACAUGGUGCUAACCUGACGCAAGAGGAAUCUCUUGGACGAUAAGAG
rfam:Salimicrobium flavidum strain DSM 23127 genome assembly, contig: Ga0111645_103